rnacentral:rRNA from 1 species
CCUGGCGGCGUGGAUAAGAACAUGCAAGUUGAGCGAAUGAACGGACAAUAGCAAUAUUUGAAGGGAUUAGCAGCGAACGGGUGAGUAACACGUGGGAAUCUGCCCUAGGGACUGGGAUAGCCUGACGAAAGUCAGGGUAAUACCGGAUAAGAUCUUCGGAUUAAAGGCGCAAGCCGCUCUAGGAUGAGCCCGCGUUCCAUCAGCUAGUUGGUAGGGUAAAAGCCUACCAAGGCGACGACGGAUAGCUGGUCUGAGAGGACGGUCAGCCACAAUGGAACUGAGACACGGUCCAUACACCUACGGGUGGCAGCAGUCGAGAAUCAUUCACAAUGGGCGAAAGCCUGAUGGUGCGACGCCGCGUGGGGGAUGAAGGCCUUAGGGUCGUAAACCCCUGUCGGUUGUGAGUAAAGCCCGGUUCGAAUCGGGUCUGAUAUUAGCAACAAAGGAAGGGGCGGCUAACUCCGUGCCAGCAGCCGCGGUAAUACGGAGGCCCCAAGCGUUGUUCGGAUUUACUGGGCGUAAAGCGUGCGUAGGCGGCAAGAUAAGUUUGGCGUGAAAUCCCCGGGCCCAACCCGGAAAUUGCGCUGGAAACUAUCUAGCUAGAAGUGUGGUGGGGAGUACGGCCGCAAGGUUAAACUCAAAGAAAUUGACGGGGGCCUGCACAAGCGGUGGAGCAUGUGGCUUAAUUCGAUGCAACGCGAAGAACCUUACCUGGGCUUGACAUGUUUGUCAUAGUCCCGUGAAAGCGGGACGUCAGUUCGGCUGGACAAUCACAGGUGCUGCAUGGCUGUCGUCAGCUCGUGUCGUGAGAUGUUGGUUUAAGUACCGCAACGAGCGCAACCCCUAUGUCCUGUUGCCACGGAGAACACGUUUCUCCAGCACUCUGGACAGACUGCCUCAUUUAAUGAGGAGGAAGGUGGGGAUGACGUCAAGUCAGUAUGGCCCUUACGCCCAGGGCUGCACACGUGCUACAAUGCCUAGUACAAUGGGAAGCUAAAUCGCGAGAUGGAGCAAAUCCCCAAAACUAGGCUCAGUUCGGAUUGGAGUCUGCAACUCGACUCCAUGAAGUUGGAAUCGCUAGUAACGGCGCAUCAGCUACGGCGCCGUGAAUACGUUCCCAGGCCUUGUACACACCGCCCGUCACAUCAUGAAAGCCGGGAGCACCCGAAGCCUGCGAUUACGUGGUCGAAGGUAAGCUUGGUAAUUGGGAUGAAGUCGUAACAAGGUAGCCGUAGGGGAACCUGCGGCUGGAUCACCUCCUUUCU